ensembl:misc_RNA Metazoa_SRP Metazoan signal recognition particle RNA
GCCAGGUGUGGUGGCGUGCACCUGUAAUCCCAGCUACCCAGGAGGCUGAGGCAGGAGAAUCACUGGAACCCGGGAGGUGGAGGUUGCAGGGAGCCCAGAUAGUGCCACUGCACUCCAGCCUGGGUGACAGAGUGAGAUUCUGUCUCAA